GGGUAAAGGGCUACAGCCUCUAAUAAUGGCACCCAGUUGUAAGAAAUGACAACGGGGCCUCACAACCUCUGGGGUUUCCUAGACAAAAAACUGUACCUGGACUAUAUUGUUCUUUAAAGCUGAUGAUGCUCUGCUUCCCAAUUUGGGGGCACAGGUGAGGAAACAUUAAAAAGGGCGCAGUUAGGCAUUCCUUCGUGGCACAGUGGGUUAGGAAUCUGGUGUCACUGCAGUAGCUUGGGUUGCUGCUGUGGCUGGGGUUCAAUUCCUGGCUCAGGAACUUCAAAAUGCCUUGGGGCAUCAAAAAAUAAUUAAAGAGCACAGUUAGCUGGUAGAAUGAUGGAAACAGUCCUAAACAAAUGAUCUAUUUUCUGCUUUACACAAACAAGCAACGUCAAAAGUUUGGAAGAGAUUUUUUUUUUUUUCUUUUAGUCUUUUCUAGGGCUGCACCCGAGCCUGGGAACCUCCAUAUGCCAUGGGUGCGGCCCUUAAAAUUGGAAAAAAAAAAAGUUAUAAAUCUUUAAAAAUAUAUAUUUCUUAGAGUUCCUGUUGUGGCUCAGUGGUAUCAAGCCUGACCAAGAUCCAUGAGGAUAUGGGUUUGAUCCCUGGACUUGCUGAGUGGGUUAAGGAUCCAUCGUUGCCAUGAGCUGUGGUGUAGAUCAUAGACAUGGCUUGGAUCUUGUGUGGCUGUGGCUGUGGUAGAGGCCAGGAGCUGUAGCGCCAGUUUGACCCCUACCUGGUAACUUACAUAUGCCCCAGGUACAGCCCUAAAAAAAAAGUAUACACACACACACACACACAUAUAUAUAUUUCUCUCCAGAACAUUGGAAAAGCAUGGCUCCUGUCCAUGUAUUUAAUGUUAUUAUUUUUGUAGGUAUGUAACACAUAUGCCUUUUCAUUAGUAAGUUCCAUUUAGAGCAAAGCAUUUCACCCUCCAUGUCUCGUAUUCUGCGUCUGAAGGUUCAAAAGACUAGGUCAAAAUAUUCAUGGAAUUCCCACGGUGGCACAGCAGUUUAAGAUCUGAUGUCUCUGUGGCAGCAAGGGUUUGAUCCCCAGCUCAGUGCAUUGGGCUGAGGAUUCAGAAUUGUAGCUGUGGUGUGUUGCAGCUGGGGCUAGGAUUCCAUCCCUAACCCAAGAACUUCCUUAUUCCACAGGUAUGGCCAAAAUUAAAAAAAAAAAAAAAUUUAAGAAGAAGAGACUCCAAAACUUUCCAAAACCUGAAGCUUGAAUUUCUCUUAUGCUGGCAACUAUCUACAUAGUAUUUGUGUCGUAUUUACAAACAUUUCCAUAGCAUUUUUAUGUUGCAUUAGGUGGUGUAAAUAAUCUAGGAAAGAUGUAAAGUGCACGUUAGGGAUGCUCAGAGUUUGAUGUCCUUGGACUUUCUGGAAGCAGGUCCCUGUGGAUACUGAGGGAUGACUGUACACUCGUGAUUAUUUUUUAAUGAUAUACCUUGCAUUUUCUGUAAAUAAGUUUUUAGAGUUACAUGCAUGAGGUGUAGGUUAAAUUAGAUGGUUCUGUACUGAUAUUUAACGUUCAAAGUUUGUGAUUCAUCUAUGGGGUUUAUUAAACUAUUUUCUUUUUCCAUAUAUAUCUGACAUUUUUCAUUGUAAAGCAGUUAUAGCAACUUUCAUAAAAUGUUCCUUGUAUCAA
rnacentral:lncRNA from 1 species